CAAAUACUCCCUCCGUCCGGAAAUACUUGUCAUCAAAAUGGAUAAAAGGAAAUGUAUCUAGACGUAUUUUAGUUUUAGAUACAUCUCUUUUUAUCCAUUUUGAUGGCAAGUAUUUUCGGACGGAGGGAGUAGAAA
rfam:Triticum aestivum genome assembly, contig: Triticum_aestivum_CS42_TGACv1_scaffold_338709_4BS